GGCUUUCGUUCGACCGGCACCACAUUUGCGCAGGCCAAUCUACCCCCCAUGGCCAUUAAAAGUUGUACAAAUCAUGACGCUGCACCCCACGGUUUACGUUCUAGGGGGCGCCAAAGAUAACCCAAAAUCCACAUUCUUAAAAGUCUUAUAACUUUUUAUUUUUGUCCUCACUGCCCUCCAAGUUUUCUAGGAUGAUGCAAUGUCCAGCCAUCAACACAUUUGUGAAGGAAUUUUUACUCCCCAAAAGAGCGCCCCCCCAUGGCAGGAGAAAAAAGUCAAUUUUUUCUUGUCCCCUUACAUGAAAAUACACAUUGUUGAGUGUCACGCCUGAACGCUUUGUCAUAUUGACACAAAAAUUGACAAUCAUGUGUAUCUCAAUUAGAUCUACGAAAAAGUCAAAAAGCGCGUAUCUGUAUAAUGUACGGUUAAAGGGCUAUUUCGCAUUUUUUGACGAUUCGCACACAUUGGAAUGUGGCUAUCUCCUCCUAAGGCUUUCGUCCCACCGAUACCAAAUUUGCUCAGGGCAAUCUACACCCCAUGCCCAUUCAAAGUUGUAAAAAUCAUGACGCUGCACCCCACGGUUUACGUUCUAGGGGGCGCCAAAGAUGACCCAAAAAUCCACAUUCUUAAAAGUCAUUUUGGCCACUGCAGGAGUACAGAGUACUGCAGUUCUAGGGGGCGCCAAAGAUGACCCAAAAAUCCACAUUCUUAAAAGUCUUUUUGGCCACUGCAGGAGUACAGAGUACUGCAGGAUACACACACACACACACACACACACACACACACACACACACACACACACACACACACACACACUCAGAGUCUGUUUUUUAGCACCUGCAAAAACAUGCUGUUUACAUAUUUGACAAGAAUGCAGAGGCUUCCUUUUGCCCCUGAAAAAAAUCAGAUUUCAAACACAACUUGACUGUUCAUUUCUCCAAAAGACAACCAUGAAGCUCCAUCCAAACCUGAAGCAGAUAGUUGGUGCAUGUGUACAGUAACCUGAGGGGAGUGAGGUGACUAUUUCUGAGGAGAACAUGAGCAGUGAAGAUUCACCUUGGAGCUAGAACAGGGACGUGCACAUGAUUAUACAGGGGCAGGGGCUCAAGUUUUCAUUUAUACAAUAUGGAAAUUAAUGUGAAAUUAAACCACAAAUAUGUGUGAUGAACUGUUUUUAAAACUUAAACUUCAAAUAAAAAUUGUAAACUUCAAAACAUAUGCAAAUUUUUAACAAAGAACAUAGUAAUUUACCUCUAUUUACAUCAAAAUGCAGGCAAUGGCCCAGGCGUUCUUUGUAAAAUUAUUUACAAAACACUGUAUAGUCUCACAAAUGUCACUUUUUAUUUAUGCCACUACAAAAAAACAUGAUGUAAAUGAUGCAUGAUGUAAAACAUGAUGUAAAAAACUUGUGUAGAUCCUCCUCUAUGUCAGUCCAUGUGUAAUUUUUCCAUAAUUCUUUGUUUUUUGCAGCAUUUUUGUUAGUGUAACUGCAGAUUGUGCUGACAGUCUAUGGCAAAAAAAACAAAAACUGAAAAUGCCUCAACAUGAACCCCUGGUGGUCUCUGAGGGUGAAACCUGCUAACUGCUGCAGCUCUGUCAGCUUCAGUCUCCCAUGCAGAGCUCGGAGCGCAUGUGUGGCUCUGCACCCUUAGCAGCGUUGCUAACUCCUCAGUAAGGAAAGCCUGCUUCAUGUCAGAGUCUCUAAACUCCAGAAGAAGUCGAUAAAAGUCCCUUUCUUUCUAAAAAAAAGUCGUUAGGGGGUCUGAAAAGUAAUUGAAUCUAACAACAAAGUUGCUAGGUUUGCAACUACGUGUCCCAGACUGCAUCCCUGCUGAGAGUCCCUCCCUCCCUUCUCAUGUUGCAGGAAGAACGUAAGCGCCCGCCCCUUGUCAUUCAGUCACCAUAUAAUUUUGGAUUGGUUGUUGUGGUGAAGUUUUCCACCAAUAGGAGAGAUGUUGUGGUGUGUUUUUUUUUUCUUUUAGCAAGCCUUUUCCGCCUGUAAGACCUGUCGCUAAUGUGUGCAUGCUAUGUUUUCCUGUCUCAUACAGCGCGAUCGAGCGCCGAACGUGAUCAAAAUAAGCAGAAAAAAAGUAUCGCGGACAUAAUUUAUCAUAACUCUGGUUUUAUUUGGCCUAUCAACACAAUUUAAAAACUGGUAUAUAGGUUGAGGUCCUCACUUUUGAGAUAAGUUGAAACGGAGAGUUAACGAGGCUCCGUCUUGCAGCUACAUCCGGUUAAAUAUGUCAUGUGACUUGAACGCUGGGGAGCGUCAAUCGAAUCGAAUCAAACCUAACUCUCAGAUGAAUCUUCAAAAUUCACCUCAGAAAUAUGCUUAUUAUUCUUCUCAGAGUACUGCAGGAUACACACACACACACAGACACACACACACACACGCACACACACACACACACUCAAAGUCUGUUUUUUAGCACCUGCAAAAACAUGCUAUUUACAUAUUUGACAAGAAUGCAGAGGCUUCCUUUUGCCCCUGAAAAAAAUCAAAUUUCAAACACAACUUGACUGCUCAUUUCUCCAAAAGACAACCAUGAAGCUCCAUCCAAACCUGAAGCAGGCAGUUGGUGCAUGUGUACAGUAACCUGAGGGGAGUGAGGUGACUGCUUCUGAGGAGAACAUGAGCAGUGAAGAUUCACCUUGGAGCUAGAACAGGGACGUGCACAUGAUAAUACAAGGGCAGGGGCUCAAGUUUUCAUUUAUACAAUAUGGAAAUUAAUGUGAAAUUAAACCACAAAUAUGUGUGAUGAACUGUUUUUAAAACUUUGGCAGGACGACCGGGCCUGGUGAAAAAUUCGAUAUUCUGAAGUCGCCCAAAAAAUCAAAUGCAAAAUGGCUCCAUAGCGCCCCCUAAGGUGAAAAAUUCACAUGAUUGAGUGUCACGCCUGUACGCUUUGUCAAAAUGACACAAAAUUUGACACACACGUGUAUCUCAAUAAGAUCUACAAAAAAGUCAGUGCGGGCGUAUCUGUCAAAUGUAUGGUUAAAGGUUUAUUUCGCAUUUUUUGCCGAUCCGCACACAUUGGAAUUUCGCUAACUCCUCCGAAGGUUUUCGUUCCACCGGCACCACAUUUGCUCAGGCCAAUCUACACCCCAUGGCCAAUAAAAGUUGUACAAAUCAUGACGCUGCACCCCACGGUUUACGUUCUAGGGGGCGCCAAAGAUAACCCAAAAAUCCACAGUCUUAAAAGUCUUAUAACUUUUUAUUUUUGUCCUCACUGGCCUCCAAGUUCUCUAGGAUGAUGCAAUGUCCAGCCAUCAACACAUUUGUGAAGGAAUUUUUACUCGCCAAAAGAGCGCCCCCCCAUGGCAGGAGAAAAAUGUCAAUUUUUUCUUGUCUCCUAAGGCGAAAAUACACAUCGUUGACUGUCACGCCUUUACGCUUUGUCAAAAUGACACAAAAUUUGACACACACAUGUAUCUCAAUAAGAUCUACAAAAAAGUCAGUGCGGGCGUAUCUGUCAAAUGUACGGUUAAAGGGUUAUUUCGCAUUUUUUGCCGAUCCGCACACAUUGGAAUUUCGCUAACUCCUCCGAAGGCUUUCGUUCCAACGGCACCACAUUUGCUCAGGCCAAUCUACACCCCAUGGCCAUUAAAAGUUGUACAAAUCAUGACGCUGCACCCCACGGUUUACGUUCUAGGGGGCGCCAAAGAUAACCCAAAAAUCCACAGUCUUAAAAGUCUUAUAACUUUUUAUUUUUGUCCUCACUGGCCUCCAAGUUCUCUAGGAUGAUGCAAUGUCCAGCCAUCAACACAUUUGUGAAGGAAUUUUUACUCGCCAAAAGAGCGCCCCCCAUGGCAGGAGAAAAAAGUCCAUUUUUUCUUGUCUCCUAAGGCGAAAAUACACAUUGUUGACUGUCACGCCUUUACGCUUUGUCAAAAUGACACAAAAUUUGACACACACAUGUAUCUCAAUAAGAUCUACGAAAAAGUCAAUGCGAGCGUAUCUGUUCAAUGUACGGUUAAAGGGCUAUUUCGCAUUUUUUGCCGAUUCGCACACAUUGGAAUGUGGCUAACUCCUCCUAAAGCUUUUGUCCCAUCGGCUUCAAAUUUGCUCAGGUCAAUCUACACCCCAUGGCCAUUCAAAGUUGUACAAAUCAUGACGCUGCACCCCACGGUUUACGUUCUAGGGGGUGCCAAAGAGGACCCAAAUAUCCACAUUUUUAAAAGUCUUAUAACUUUUUAUUUUUGUCCUCACUGGCCUCCAAGUUUUCUAGGAUGAUGCAAUGUCCAGCCAUCAACACAUUUGUGAAGGAAUUUUUUCUCCCCAAAAGAGCGCCCCCCAUGGCAGGAGAAAAAGUCAAGUUUUUCCUGCCCAUCGCUCAAUGGCUCAAAAGCAUCGCUCUCUCGGCAAAACCGAAAGGAGGAGCAACUUGCCAUUUGGAUAUAUACUAGCUGUGUUUGUGCCCUCACUCAUGGUCCAGACUUUUUUCAAAAAGGACAUGGAGUUUGUCUGCAGCAAACGUUUUGGUAGAAACUGCGCCUCCCAUUCAUUAUAAUGGUAAAUGACCACAGACAAGUGCGCACACCAUCUUUGGACCUUGAGUGUGACGCGAUCAAGAGGGGUAGGCGGUCGCGCUGGGGGUGGCGCGACACGGCUCGGGCCCGCCAGUGCCCCAACGGGGCCCUAGUUAUUAUUUUUCCUCCCCUUUGAACUGGAAAAUGGCCCACUUCCCACUGGCGAAAACUCAUGAAAUUUGGCAGGACGACCGGGCCUGGUGAAAAAUUUGAUAUUCCGAAGUCGCCCAAACAAGAAAAUGCAAAAUGGCUCCAUAGCGCCCCCUAAGGUGAAAAUUCACACUAUUGACUGUCACGCCUGUACGCUUUGUCAAAAUGACACAAAAAUUGACACACACAUGUAUCUCAAUAAGAUCUACAAAAAAGUCAGUGCGGGCGUAUCUGUCAAAUGUACAGUUAAAGGGUUAUUUCGCAUUUUUUGCCGAUCCGCACACAUUGGAAUUUCGCUAACUCCUCCGAAGGCUUUCGUUCCACCGGCACCACAUUUGCUCAGGCCAAUCUACACCCCAUGGCCAUUAAAAGUUAUUCAAAUCAUGACGCUGCACCCCACGGUUUAGGUUCUAGGGGGCGCCAAAGAUAACCCUAAGAUCCACAUAUUUAAAAGUCUUAUAACUUUUUAUUUUUGCCCUCACUGACCUCCAAGUUUUCUAGGAUGAUGCAAUGUCCAGCCAUCAACACAUUUGUGAAGAAAUUUUUACUCCCCAAAAGAGCGCCCCCCCAUGGCAGGAGAAAAAAGUCCAUUUUUUCUUGUCCCCUAAGGUGAAAAUACACAUUGUUGAGUGUAACACCUGUACGCUUUGGCAAAAUGACACAAAAAUUGACACACACAUGUAUCUCAAUAAGAUCUACGAAAAAGUCAAUGCGCGCGUAUCUGUCAAAUGUACAGUUAAAGGGUUAUUCCGCAUUUUUUGCCGAUCCGCACACAUUGGAAUUUCGCUAACUCCUCCGAAGGCUUUCGUUCCACCGGCACCACAUUUGCUCAGGCCAAUCUACACCCCAUGGCCAUUAAAAGUUAUUCAAAUCAUGACGCUGCACCCCACGGUUUAGGUUCUAGGGGGCGCCAAAGAUAACCGUAAAAUCCACAUAUUUAAAAGUCUUAUAACUUUUUAUUUUUGUCCCCACUGGCCUCCAAGUUUUCUAGGAUGAUGCAAUGUCCAGCCAUCAACACAUUUGUGAAGGAAUUUUUACUCGCCAAAAGAGCGCCCCCCCAUGGCAGGAGAAAAAAGUCCAUUUUUUCUUGUCCACUAAGGUGAAAAUACACAUUGUUGAGUGCUACGCCUGUAUGUUUUGUCGUAUUGACACAAAAUUUUACACACACGUGUAUUUCAAUAAGAUCUUCGAAAAAGUCAAUGGCCACGUAUCUGUCAAAUGUACGGUUAAAGGGUUAUUUCGCAUUUUUUGCAGAUUCGCACACAUUGGAAUUUCGCUAACUCCUCCGAAGGCUUUCGUUCCACCGGCACCACAUUUGCUCAGGCCAAUCUACACCCCAUGGCCAUUAAAAGUUAUUCAAAUCAUGACGCUGCACCCCACGGUUUAGGUUCUAGGGGGCGCCAAAGAUAACCGUAAAAUCCACAUAUUUAAAAGUCUUAUAACUUUUUAUUUUUGUCCUCACUGGCCUCCAUGUUUUCUAGGAUGAUGCAAUGUCCAGCCAUCAACACAUUUGUGAAGGAGUUUUUUCUCGUUAAAAGAGCGCCCCCCCAUGGCAGGAGAAUAAAGUCAAGUUUUUCCUGUUCAUCAUUCAAUGGCUCAAACGCACUUCUCUCUCGGCAAAAGCGAAAGGAGGAGCAACUUGCCAUUUGGAUAUAUCUUAGCUGUGUUUGUGCCCUCACUCAUGGUCCAGACUUUUUUCAAAUAGGACAUGGAGUUUUUCUGCAGCGAGCGUUUUGGUAGAAACUGCGCCUCCCGUUCAUUAUAAUGGUAAAUGACCACAAACAAGUGCGCACACCAUCUUUGGACCUUGAGUGUGACGCGAUCGGGUGGGGGAGGCGGUCGCGCUGGGGGCGGCGUGACACGGCUCGGGCCCGCCAGUGCCCCAACGGGGCCCUAGUUUUUCUUUUUCCUCCCCUUUGAACUGGAAAAUGGCCCAAUUCCCACUGGCGAAAACUCAUGAAAUUUGGCAGGACGACCGGGCCUGGUGAAAAAAUUGAUAUUCCGAAGUCGCCCAAACAAGAAAAUGCAAAAUGGCUCCAUAGCGCCCCCUAAGGUUAAAAUUCACACUAUUGACUGUCACGCCUGUACGCUUUGUCAAAAUGACACAAAAAUUGACACACACAUGUAUCUCAAUAAGAUCUACAAAAAAGUCAGUGCGGGCGUAUCUGUCAAAUGUACGGUUAAAGGGUUAUUUCGCAUUUUUUGCCGAUCCGCACACAUUGGAAUUUCGCUAACUCCUCCGAAGGCUUUCGUUCCACCGGCACCACAUUUGCUCAGGCCAAUCUACACCCCAUGGCCAUUAAAAGUUAUUCAAAUCAUGACGCUGCACCCCACGGUUUAGGUUCUAGGGGGCGCCAAAGAUAACCAAAAAAUCCACAGUCUUAAAAGUCUUAUAACUUUUUAUUUUUGUCCUCACUGGCCUCCAAGUUCUCUAGGAUGAUGCAAUGUCCAGCCAUCAACACAUUUGUGAAGGAAUUUUUACUCCCCAAAAGAGCGCCCCCCCAUGGCAGGAGAAAAAAGUCCAUUUUUUCUUGUCCCCCAAGGCGAAAAUACACAUUGUUGAAUGUCACGCCUGUACGCUUUGUCAUAUUGACACAAAAUUUGACAAUCACGUGCAUCUCAAUAAGAUCUACAAAAAAGUCAGUGCGGGAGUAUCUGUCAAAUGUACGGUUAAAGGGCUAUUUCGCAUUUUUUGCCGAUCCGCACACAUUGGAAUUUCGCUAACUCCUCCGAAGGCUUUCGUUCCACCGGCACCAAAUUUGCUCAAGCCAAUCUACACCCCAUGGCCAUUAAAAAUUGUACAAAUCAUGACGCUGCACCCCACGGUUUAGGUUCUAGGGGGCGCCAAAGAUAACCCAAAAAUCCACAUUCUUUAGUCUUAUAACUUUUUAUUUUUGUCCUCACUGGCCUCGAAGUUUUCUAGGAUGAUGCAAUGUCUAGCCAUCAACACAUUUGUGAAGGAAUUUUUACUCCCUAAAAGAGCUCCCCCCCAUUGCAGGAGAAAAAGUCAAGUUUUUCCUGCCCAUCGCUCAAUGGCUCAAACACAUCGCUCUCUCGGCAAAACCGAAAGGAGGAGCAACUUGCCAUUUGGAUAUAUCCUAGCUGUGUUUGUGCCCUCACUCAUGGUCCAGACUUUUUUCAAAUAGGACAUGUAGUUUGUCUGCAGCGAGCGUUUUGGUAGAAACUGCGCCUCCCAUUCAUUAUAAUGGUAAAUGACCACAGACAAGUGCGCACGCCAUCUUUGGACCUUGAGUGUGACGCGAUCGGGAGGGAGAGGCGGUCGUGCUGGGGGCAGCGCGACACAGCUCGGGCCCGCCAGUGUCCCAACGGGGCCCUAGUUAGGGCCCGAGCAUAGCUGCUAAGCAGCUGCGAGAGCCCUAUUGUUCCUGAUGGAUUCUUCUUUCUUCUUCUUCUUCUUUUUCUUCUUCUUAUUAGGGCCCGAGCCAGCUGCAGAGCAGCCGGGCGUAGAGCCCUAUUGUUCCCCAGGUGGUUUUUCUUUGUUUCUUUCUUUCUUUCUUUCUUUCUUUCUUUAGGGCCCGAGCAUAGCUGCUAAGCAGCUGCGAGAGCCCUCUUGUUCCUGAUGGAUUCUUCUUUUUUGGGCCUGAGCGUAGCUGCUAAGCAGCUGCGAGGCCCUAUUAUUCCUGUAGUGGUUUUUCUUUGUUUCUUUUUUCUUUUUCCUCCCCUUUGAACUGGAAAAUGGCCCAAUUCCCACUGGCGAAAACUCAUGAAAUUUGGCAGGACGACCGGGCCUGGUGAAAAAAUUGAUAUUCCGAAGUCGCCCAAACAAGAAAAUGCAAAAUGGCUCCAUAGCGCCCCCUAAGGUUAAAAUUCACACUAUUGACUGUCACGCCUGUACGCUUUGUCAAAAUGACACAAAAAUUGACACACACAUGUAUCUCAAUAAGAUCUACAAAAAAGUCAGUGCGGGCGUAUCUGUCAAAUGUACGGUUAAAGGGUUAUUUCGCAUUUUUUGCCGAUCCGCACACAUUGGAAUUUCGCUAACUCCUCCGAAGGCUUUCGUUCCACCGGCACCACAUUUGCUCAGGCCAAUCUACACCCCAUGGCCAUUAAAAGUUAUUCAAAUCAUGACGCUGCACCCCACGGUUUAGGUUCUAGGGGGCGCCAAAGAUAACCAAAAAAUCCACAGUCUUAAAAGUCUUAUAACUUUUUAUUUUUGUCCUCACUGGCCUCCAAGUUCUCUAGGAUGAUGCAAUGUCCAGCCAUCAACACAUUUGUGAAGGAAUUUUUACUCCCCAAAAGAGCGCCCCCCCAUGGCAGGAGAAAAAAGUCCAUUUUUUCUUGUCCCCCAAGGCGAAAAUACACAUUGUUGAAUGUCACGCCUGUACGCUUUGUCAUAUUGACACAAAAUUUGACAAUCACGUGCAUCUCAAUAAGAUCUACGAAAAAGUCAAUGCGCGCGUAUCUGUAAAAUGUAGGGUUAAAGGGCUUUUUCGCAUUUUUUGCAGAUUCGGACACAUUGGAAUGUGGCUUAGUCCUCCUAAGGCUUUCGUCCCACUGACACCAAAUUUGCUCAGGCCAAUCUACACCCCAUGGCCAUUCAACGUUGUAAAAAUCAUGACGCUGCACCCCACGGUCUACGUUCUAGGGGGCGCCAAAGAGGACCCAAAUAUCCACAUUUUUAAAAGUCUUAUAACUUUUUAUUUUUGUGCUCACUGGCCUCCAAGUUUUCUAGGAUGAUGCAAUGUCCAGUCAUCAACACAUUUGUGAAGGAAUUUUUACUCCCCAAAAGAGCGCCCCCCCAUGGCAGGAGAAAAAAGUCCAUUUUUUCUUGUCCCCUAAGGUGAAAAUACACAUUGUUGAGGGUCAUGCCUGUACGCUUUGUCAAAAUGACACAAAAUUCGACACACACGUGUAUCUCAAUAAGAUCUACGAAAAAGUAAAUGCAGGCGUAUCUGUCAAAUGUACGGUUAAAGGGCUAUUUAGGGCCCGAGCGUAGCUGCUAGGCAGCUGCGAGAGCCCUAUUAUUCCCCAAGUGGUUUUUCUUUGUUUCUUUAGGGCCCGAGCCAGCUGCAGAGCAGCCGGGCGUAGGCCCUAUUAUUCCCCAAGUGGUUUUUCUUUGUUUCUUUCUUUCUUUCUUUCUUAGGGCCCGAGCGUAGCUGCUAAGCAGCUGCGAGAGCCCUCUUGUUCCUGUAGUUUCCUUCUUUUGUUAUUAUUAUUAUUAUUUUUCCUCCCAUUUGAACUGGAAAAUGGCCCACUUCCCACUGGCGAAAACUCAUGAAAUUUGGCAGGACGACCGGGCCUGGUGAAAAAUUUGAUAUUCCGAAGUCGCCCAAACAAGAAAAUGCAAAAUGGCUCCAUAGCGCCCCCUAAGGUGAAAAUUCACACUAUUCACUGUCACGCCGGUACGCUUUGUCAAAAUGACACAAAAAUUGACACACACAUGUAUCUCAAUAAGAUCUACAAAAAAGUCAGUGCGGGCGUAUCUGUCAAAUGUACGGUUAAAGGGUUAUUUCGCAUUUUUUGCCGAUCCGCACACAUUGGAAUUUCGCUAACUCCUCCGAAGGCUUUCGUUCCACCGGCACCACAUUUGCUCAGGCCAAUCUACACCCCAUGGCCAUUAAAAGUUAUUCAAAUCAUGACGCUGCACCCCACGGUUUAGGUUCUAGGGGGCGCCAAAGAUAACCCUAAGAUCCACAUAUUUAAAAGUCUUAUAACUUUUUAUUUUUGCCCUCACUGGCCUCCAAGUUUUCUAGGAUGAUGCAAUGUCCAGCCAUCAACACAUUUGUGAAGGAAUUUUUACUCCCCAAAAGAGCGCCCCCCCAUGGCAGGAGAAAAAAGUCCAUUUUUUCUUGUCCCCUAAGGUGAAAAUACACAUUGUUGAGUGUAACACCUGUACGCUUUGGCAAAAUGACACAAAAAUUGACACACACAUGUAUCUCAAUAAGAUCUACGAAAAAGUCAAUGCGCGCGUAUCUGUCAAAUGUACGGUUAAAGGGUUAUUCCGCAUUUUUUGCCGAUCCGCACACAUUGGAAUUUCGCUAACUCCUCCGAAGGCUUUCGUUCCACCGGCACCACAUUUGCUCAGGCCAAUCUACACCCCAUGGCCAUUAAAAGUUAUUCAAAUCAUGACGCUGCACCCCACGGUUUAGGUUCUAGGGGGAGCCAAAGAUAACCGUAAAAUCCACAUAUUUAAAAGUCUUAUAACUUUUUAUUUUUGUCCCCACUGGCCUCCAAGUUUUCUAGGAUGAUGCAAUGUCCAGCCAUCAACACAUUUGUGAAGGAAUUUUUACUCGGCAAAAGAGCGCCCCCCAUGGCAGGAGAAAAAAGUCAAUUUUUUCUUGUCCACUAAGGUGAAAAUACACAUUGUUGAGUGCUACGCCUGUAUGUUUUGUCGUAUUGACACAAAAUUUUACAUACACGUGUAUUUACAUAAGAUCUUCGAAAAAGUCAAUGGCCACGUAUCUGUAAAAUGUACGGUUAAAGGGUUAUUUUGCAUUUUUUGCAGAUUCGCACACAUUGGAAUUUCGCUAAUUCCUCCGAAGGCUUUCGUUCCACCGGCACCACAUUUGCUCAGGCCAAUCUACACCCCAUGGCCAUUAAAAGUUAUUCAAAUCAUGACGCUGCACCCCACGGUUUAGGUUCUAGGGGGCGCCAAAUAUAACCCUAAAAUCCACAUAUUUAAAAGUCUUAUAACUUUUUAUUUUUGUCCUCACUGGCCUCCAUGUUUUCUAGGAUGAUGCAAUGUCCAGCCAUCAACACAUUUGUGAAGGAGUUUUUUCUCUUUAAAAGAGCGCCCCCCCAUGGCAGGAGAAUAAAGUCAAGUUUUUCCUGUUCAUCAUUCAAUGGCUCAAACGCACUGCUCUCUCGGCAAAAGCGAAAGGAGGAGCAACUUGCCAUUUGGAUAUAUCUUAGCUGUGUUUGUGCCCUCACUCAUGGUCCAGACUUUUUUCAAAUAGGACAUGGAGUUUUUCUGCAGCGAGCGUUUUGGUAGAAACUGCGCCUCCCGUUCAUUAUAAUGGUAAAUGACCACAAACAAGUGCGCACACCAUCUUUGGACCUUGAGUGUGACGCGAUCGGGUGGGGGAGGCGGUCGCGCUGGGGGCGGCGUGACACGGCUCGGGCCCGCCAGUGCCCCAACGGGGCCCUAGUUUCUUCUUUUUCCUCCCCUUUGAACUGGAAAAUGGCCCACUUCCCACUGGCGAAAACUCAUGAAAUUUGGCAGGACGACCGGGCCUGGUGAAAAAUUCGAUAUUCUGAAGUCGCCCAAACAAUAAAAUGCAAAAUGGCUCCAUAGCGCCCCCUAAGGUGGAAAUUCACACUAUUGACUGUCACGCCUGUACGCUUUGUCAUAUUGACACAAAAAUUGACACACAUAUGUAUCUCAAUAAGAUCUACAAAAAAGUCAGUGCGGCCGUAUCUGUCAAAAUUACGGUUAAAGGGUUAUUUCGCAUUUUUUUCCGAUCCGCACACAUUGGAAUUUCGCUAACUCCUCCGAAGGCUUUCGUUCCACCGGCACCACAUUUGCUCAGGCCAAUCUACACCCCGUGGCCAUUAAAAGUUAUCAAAAUCAUGACGCUGCACCCCAAGGUUUAGGUUCUAGGGGGCGCCAAAGAUAACACUAAAAUCCACAUAUUUAAAAGUCUUAUAACUUUUUAUUUUUGUCCUCACUGGCCUCCAAGUUUUCUAGGAUGAUGCAUUGUCCAGCCAUCAACACAUUUGUGAAGGAAUUUUUACUCCCCAAAAGAGCGCCCCCCCAUGGCAGGAGAAAAAAGUCCAAUUUUUCUUGUCCCCUAAGGUGAAAAUACACAUUGUUCAGUGUCACGCCUACACGCUUUGUCAAAAUGACACAAAAAUUGACACACACAUGUAACUCAAUAAGAUCUACGAAAAAGUCAAUGCGCGCGUAUCUGUCAAAUGUACGGUUAAAGGGUUAUCUCGCAUUUUUUGCCGAUCCGCACACAUUGGAAUUUCGCUAACUCCUCCGAAG